GCACAGCGGCGUGACGAGACUCGCGUGG
rnacentral:piRNA from 1 species